rnacentral:rRNA from 1 species
CCUGGCGGCAGUCUACACAUGCAGUCGAGCGGUAGCACAGGGAGCUUGCUCCUGGGUGACGAGCGGCGGACGGGUGAGUAAUGUCUGGGAAACUGCCUGAUGGAGGGGGAUAACUACUGGAAACGGUAGCUAAUACCGCAUAACGUCGCAAGACCAAAGAGGGGGACCUUCGGGCCUCUUGCCAUCAGAUGUGCCCAGAUGGGAUUAGCUAGUAGGUGGGGUAACGGCUCACCUAGGCGACGAUCCCUAGCUGGUCUGAGAGGAUGACCAGCCACACUGGAACUGAGACACGGUCCAGACUCCUACGGGAGGCAGCAGUGGGGAAUAUUGCACAAUGGGCGCAAGCCUGAUGCAGCCAUGCCGCGUGUAUGAAGAAGGCCUUCGGGUUGUAAAGUACUUUCAGCGGGGAGGAAGGUGUUGAGGUUAAUAACCUCAGCAAUUGACGUUACCCGCAGAAGAAGCACCGGCUAACUCCGUGCCAGCAGCCGCGGUAAUACGGAGGGUGCAAGCGUUAAUCGGAAUUACUGGGCGUAAAGCGCACGCAGGCGGUCUGUCAAGUCGGAUGUGAAAUCCCCGGGCUCAACCUGGGAACUGCAUUCGAAACUGGCAGGCUAGAGUCUUGUAGAGGGGGGUAGAAUUCCAGGUGUAGCGGUGAAAUGCGUAGAGAUCUGGAGGAAUACCGGUGGCGAAGGCGGCCCCCUGGACAAAGACUGGCGCUCAAGUGGGAAAGCGUGGGGAACAAAAAGAUUAGAUCACCUGGUAGUCCCCGCCGCAAAACAUGUCCACAUUUGAAGGUGUGCGCUUGAGAGGCGGCCCUCCCGAGAUAAAACGCUAUAACGCCCACCCUCGAGGAGAACUACCCCGGAGGUGAAAAUCUUAUGAAGUAUUCGGAGGGGGCCCACACACAGGCGGAGGAAGUGGGUGUUUUUAUUUCGAUGCAGCGGGAGAGAACCUUACCCUUGUCGUGGACGUCCAGGAUACUCUAACAAGAAAUGGGAUCGUCCGCCACCGGACAAUCCUGGAAGCGGAGUGGCUGUAGCCUGCUCCCAAGG